rnacentral:rRNA from 1 species
CUGGCCUUGACAUACUAGAAACUUUCCAGAGAUGGAUUGGUGCCUUCGGGAAUCUAGAUACAGGUGCUGCAUGGCUGUCGUCAGCUCGUGUCGUGAGAUGUUGGGUUAAGUCCCGCAACGAGCGCAACCCUUUUCCUUAUUUGCCAGCGAGUAAUGUCGGGAACUUUAAGGAUACUGCCAGUGACAAACUGGAGGAAGGUGGGGACGACGUCAAGUCAUCAUGGCCCUUACGGCCAGGGCUACACACGUGCUACAAUGGUCGGUACAAAGGGUUGCUACCUAGCGAUAGGAUGCUAAUCUCAAAAAGCCGAUCGUAGUCCGGAUUGGAGUCUGCAACUCGACUCCAUGAAGUCUGGAAUCGCUAGUAAUCGCUGGAUCAGAAUGCCGCGGUGAAUAUGUUCCC